rnacentral:rRNA from 1 species
UACGGAGGAUGCAAGCGUUAUCCGGAAUGAUUGGGCGUAAAGGGUCCGCAGGUGGCAAUGUAAGUCUGCUGUCAAAGAAUGAGGCUUAACCUCAUCAAGGCAGUGGAAACUACAUAGCUAGAGUACGGUCGGGGUAGAAGGAAUUCCUGGUGUAGCGGUGAAAUGCGCAGAUAUCAGGAAGAACACCAAUGGCGAAGGCAGCUCUCUGGGACGGUACUGACGCUGAGGAGCGAAAGCGUGGGGAGCGAACAGG